rnacentral:rRNA from 1 species
UACGAAGGGGGCGAGCGUUGUUCGGAUUUACUGGGCGUAAAGGGCGCGUAGGCGGACAUCUAAGUCAGGGGUGAAAUCCCAGGGCUCAACCCUGGAAUUGCCUUUGAUACUGGACGUCUCGAGUUCGGGAGAGGUGAGUGGAAUUCCGAGUGUAGAGGUGAAAUUCGUAGAUAUUCGGAGGAACACCAGAAGCGAAGGCGGCUCACUGGCCCGAUACUGACGCUGAGGCGCGAAAGCGUGGGGAGCAAACAGG